UACGGAGGGUGCAAGCGUUAUCCGGAAUCACUGGGUUUAAAGGGUGCGUAGGCGGUUAAAUAAGUCAGUGGUGAAAGGUUUGAGCUUAACUGAAGAAUUGCCAUUGAUACUGUAUAACUUGAAUAUGGAUGAGGUAGGCGGAAUGUGACAUGUAGCGGUGAAAUGCAUAGAUAUGUCAUAGAACACCGAUUGCGAAGGCAGCUUACUAGGCCAUUAUUGACGCUGAGGCACGAAAGCGUGGGGAGCAAACAGG
rnacentral:rRNA from 1 species